AUACGGAGGAUCCAAGCGUUAUCCGGAUUUAUUGGGUUUAAAGGGUGCGCAGGCGGAAGAUUAAGUCGGCGGUGAAAUUUUGCAGCUCAACUGUAAAAGUGCCAUCGAUACUGGUUUUCUUGAGUGUGGAUGAAGUAGGCGGAAUUUUUGGGGUAGCGGGUAAAUGCAUAGAUAUCACGAGGAACUCCGAUUGCGUAGGCAGCUGACCAGACCGCAAAUGACGCUCAUGCACGAAAGUGCGGGGAUCGAACAGGAUUAGAUACCCUGGUAGUCCGCACAGUAAACGAUGAAUACUUGUUUUCGGCGAUAUAAUGUCGGAGGCAAAGCGAAAGCGAUAAGUAUUCCACCUGGGGAGUACGCCGGCAACGGUGAAACUCAAAUGAAUUGGCGGGG
rnacentral:rRNA from 1 species